rnacentral:rRNA from 1 species
GUGUCAGCCGCCGCGGUAAGACGAACCGUGCAAACGUUGUUCGGAAUCACUGGGCUUAAAGGGCGCGUAGGCGGGCUUCAAAGUCGGUGGUGAAAUCUUUCGGCUCAACCGGAAAAGUGCCGCCGAUACUGGGAGUCUCGAGGGAGGUAGGGGUCGAUGGAACUUCAGGUGGAGCGGUGAAAUGCGUAGAUAUCUGAAGGAACGCCGGUGGCGAAAGCGAUCGACUGGACCUUUUCUGACGCUGAGGCGCGAAAGCCAGGGGAGCAAACGGGAUUAGAUACCCCUGUAGUCC